rnacentral:RNase_P_RNA from 1 species
GAAGCACUCCAGACCGCCGCUGGUGCAAUCGCCGAAAGGCCGCACUGGAGGAAGGUCCGGACUGCACAGAGCAGCGUAGGGGGUAACACCCCUCCGGCGUGAGCCGAGGAUCAGAGCAACAGAGACGAGUCCAUGGUCUCAAGGAAGGCGCGGUGCAAGCUGCCACUUCCUGAAUCCGACCCACAGGGCCUGGCUUGCCGGGCAUGCUGGGCGGGGCGCCGCAAGGCGAGGGCCAUGGGGUGAAACGGGCAAUCUCUACGCGCAGCAACACCAAGUAGGCCGGUUUUGAGGUGGCUCGCUGAGCCGGCGGGUAGGUGGCAUCGAGCCGGGGUGUGAGCCCCGGCCCAGAGGAAUGGCGGUCACCGGCCCCGCAAGGGGUCGGACACAGAAUCCGGCCUAUCGGGGUGCUUCACGA